rnacentral:tRNA from 1 species
GCGAAUGUGGUGGAAUAGGUAGACACGCCUGCUUUAGGAGCAGGUGCCCCCGGGCGUGUGGGUUCGAGUCCCUCCAUUCGCA